CAUGUUUUCUAACCAACCUGCAUUGAAGCUCUUUAUUGGCUAAACACACCUGAUCCAGGUAAUCAACAGCAGAUGAGGCAGGAUUUCUGAAAAACCAGCAGGAGGUCGGCCCUCGAGGCCUGGAGUUUGACUUGAAUCCUUGCUCUACUG
rnacentral:snoRNA from 1 species